rnacentral:rRNA from 1 species
CCUGGUAGAGGGGGAUAACUACGCGAAAGUGUAGCUAAUACCGCAUAAGCCUUCAGGGGUCAUCCCUGAUUGGAAAGGUGGGGACCGCAAGGCCUACCACUACCAGAUGAGCUCAUGUCCCAUCAGCUUGUUGGUGAGGUAACAGCUCACCAAGGCUAAGACGGGUAGCUGGUCUGAGAGGACGAUCAGCCACACUGGAACUGAGACACGGUCCAG